rnacentral:rRNA from 1 species
UCAGUCGACUCCUACGGGAGCAGCAGUGGGGAAUAUUGCACAAUGGGCGCAAGCCUGAUGCAGCAACGCCGUGUGAGUGAAGAAGGUUUUCGGAUCGUAAAACUCUGUCCUAAGGGAAGAAACAAAUGACGGUACCUUAGGAGGAAGCCCCGGCUAACUACGUGCCAGCAGCCGCGGUAAUACGUAGGGGGCAAGCGUUAUCCGGAAUCACUGGGCGUAAAGGGUGCGUAGGCGGCUUAGCAAGCCAGGGGUGAAAGGCAUUGGCUCAACCAAUGUAAGCCUUUGGAACUGUUAAGCUUGAGUGCAGGAGAGGUAAGUGGAAUUCCUAGUGUAGAGGUGAAAUUCGUAGAUAUUAGGAGGAACACCAGUGGCGAAGGCGACUUACUGGACUGUAACUGACGCUGAUGCACGAAAGCGUGGGUAGCGAACAGGAUUAGAUACCCUGGUAG